AAUCAGAAAAGAUGUCUCUUUGUUGAACAGAAAUUCUUCAGUUAUUCAGGUGUUUCAGUUAGUCAACAGAUUGAGUCAGUGAUAUUUUGUAAAUUUUGAAGAGCCCCUACCUCCAUACUGAUCUUCUGAGUGACACCAGAAUGUAAAAGAAGAAAUUUGUGGGAAAAGCAAGUUGGACAUACAUUAGAACUGGAAUGAGUAAAUAAGAAUGUCAGCUUCUCUUUCAGAAAAGAUAUUUCUUAUUCAAACUGGACAAGCCAAGUGUCCUCAGCCUCUCCUCACAGACCAUGCCCUCCAGCCUUUUGCCAGCUUUGUUGCCCACCUCUGGAUGCUCUGAAGGACCCCAACAUCCCUUUUAUGUUGUGGAGCCCAGCACUGCACACAAUAUUCAAGAAUAAUUAGGCUGUAGGAGAACUCUGGAGUUCAACUUCAAAGGUAGAUCAGGUGCCCAGGCCCUUUAUAGAUCAAGUUUUGAGCAUCUUUCUAGACGAAGAUUUUUCUUCCAAUAUGGAUGAUGUCUGAAGAGUCAAUGAAUGACAUGCGAGCACUGCUGAUGUCCUCUGUAGUAACUGGAAGUGUCUUUAAUCAUACGUGCAUUGUGAUCUACCCAAUAUGGUGCUGGUGAUUAUUCUCUCAGCUCAAAUUGCUCGUUUUCAAGAUGUUGAGAAGCUACCACUGAAUAGACAUUUCAGGAGGUAAACUUUCCAUUUACUUUCUUGAAGAUAACCGUUUUUUUUUAAAAAUUCAAGGGGGGAAAAAAAACAACUUUUGUACAGAAACACUCACAGCCUGAUCACUUUGUAUUUUGGUUCUCAGAAGUUUUUCCAGAUCAAAUCAAUUUAGUACGUUUGAAUUUUACUAGCAACAUUUUAACAGCAGUCUUGUUUGUAAUCCUUGGUUAGCUUUCUUUUCCAUUGUAUCAAAUAUUUGUUCUCUGUCCUAGAUACAAUCUAGGAUAAAAUGUCUGGGCAAACUCUUCAUUUUUACAAUCAAAAAGAUUUAAGUGAGAAUAAAACUGAAUUGAUACAAACAGUGCAGAAUGCUUUGCACAUUGUUUAUCAUGACAAAAAAUAUUAACCUGGAACUUAGAUAGAACUGUAUUUACAUGUAGUGUCAGAUAAGAGAUGUAAGAAAGAAGAUACAAAAGGAAAUGAUCCUUAUUUCCCUUGAAGCAGUUAUAUAUCCUUGGAACUACAAAAAAUAUUUUAAGGAGUGCUUCCUCUGAAAUUAGAUAGCAGCACUGAUUUUUAUCUUGUGGAUUUUUUUGCCU